rnacentral:misc_RNA from 1 species
AAAUAACAUUCGUGAUUUUUUGCGGAUUUGAGUUUUCCAGUAUUUAUUAUUAUAAAUAAAUGUUGGUGACUUUAAAAUUAUUUAUUACUUGGUACAAGUUGAAAACGUGCUAUAUGUGUGGUUCGCCGACAACUUGUCCAUCUUUAUAUAUUAUGUGCGUACUUGGUUUUUAAUCUGUACGAGCAUAUAUUUUUU